GGGGGCCAAAAUCCAUCGAGCACAAUUCGGAUAGACUUACUGGUCAGUGAGAAUAAAUGAUUAAAUUUAUUUCUAUUUAAGAACAAUAACCUGCAAGAAAUUUUAAAUGCAUUUUUAUUUAAUAAAUACUUUAGAUUUUUCCGUCUUUCUUUUCCCGCACAUCAAACAUAUAUGAAUAUUUUUUGACUUUGAAUCUUUUGUUUCUUCCCUACAUUGCUAUAUUUUUUUUUCUUUCUAUUCCGGUGUUCCAAACAAGCUUUAGAUAUGAUCUAUAUCCAAUGUGUACAUAGUGUACGAUACAAUUUUGCACAAUUACUGUCACACCUUACGUGUACAGGUACAACACAUCAGCGCCAGGUUCUCGAAGAUUCACAAUGUGUUGAGAUGCAUUAUUUUUAGGUCGUUGUCUGUAUUAUGUCUGGUCAGCAGGGGCAGGUCAAAGUUUUCUUAUACUCCUAAACAUUUUUGUCACU
rnacentral:lncRNA from 1 species